rnacentral:rRNA from 1 species
GAUGAACGCUGGCGGCGUGCUUAACACAUGCAAGUCGAACGAAGCACCUUGAUUUGAUUCUUCGGAUGAAGAUCUUGGUGACUGAGUGGCGGACGGGUGAGUAACGCGUGGGUAACCUGCCUCAUACAGGGGGAUAACAGUUAGAAAUGACUGCUAAUACCGCAUAAGACCACAGCACCGCAUGGUGCAGGGGUAAAAACUCCGGUGGUAUGAGAUGGACCCGCGUCUGAUUAGGUAGUUGGGGGGGUAACGGCCUACCAAGCCGACGAUCAGUAGCCGACCUGUGAGGGUGACCCGCCACAUUUGGACUGAGACCCCGCCCCAACUCCUACGGGAGGCAGCAGUGGGGAAUAUUGCACAAUGGGGGAAACCCUGAUGCAGCGACGCCGCGGGAGCGAUGAAGUAUUUCGGUAUGGAAAGCUCUAUCAGCAGGGAAGAAAAUGACGGUACCUGACUAAGAAGCACCGGCUAAAUACGUG